GGAUAGCUCAGUUGGUCGAGCAUGAGACUCUUAACCUCAGAGUCAUGAGUUUGAGCCGCAUGUUGGGCA